rnacentral:snoRNA from 1 species
CCUCUAAACCAUGAUGAUAUUAUAACUUAUAUUCUUGCAGGUCUUAACCAUGAGUAUGACAGCUUUGUUGCAUCAAUAUCAGCACGCACUGAUGAUAUCACACUUGAAGAAAUCUACUCCCUUCUGCUGACCUCUGAAGC